GGGCAGCGCCUCGAGGGGAGCCUGGCCCCCCGGUGAGUUUGGCCCCUAGGCCAGUAAGGACAGCAGAGGGGAGCAGGGCUGCCAUGGCCAUGUGUCCCCAGGGCUGAGCUGCAUCCCCAGGGGCUGAGCUGCAUCCCCAGGGGCUGAGCUGUGCUCUAUUGCAGGGCCUGCCUGGGGACCCCGGGCCCCGGGGACCUGCCGGGCCCCCUGGCCUGAAGGGAGAGAAGGGUGAUGGCCAAGAAGGUUUCCCAGGGCCGCCCGGCCGCCCCGGGGACCCAGGAGACCGGGGCCCUCGGGGACCACCGGGGGAGCAGGGCAGGAAGGGAGACCGCGGGGCGCCAGGCGAGCUGGGAGAGUUGGGCGAGAAGGGGGACCGUGGCAUGCCAGGCCCCGAGGGCGAGAAGGUAG
rnacentral:lncRNA from 1 species